rnacentral:rRNA from 1 species
UACGUAGGGGGCUAGCGUUGUCCGGAAUUAUUGGGCGUAAAGAGCGCGUAGGCGGCCAAGUAAGUCCGGUGUGAAAACUCGAGGCUUAACCUCGAGAUGUCAUCGGAAACUAUUUGGCUAGAGUCCGGAAGAGGAAAGUGGAAUUCCUGGUGUAGCGGUGAAAUGCGUAGAUAUCGGGAAGAACACCGGUGGCGAAGGCGGCUUUCUGGGACGGUACUGACGCUGAGACGCGAAAGCGAGGGGAGCGAACAGG